rnacentral:lncRNA from 1 species
UUUUUAUUUAAAUUCUAGUUAGUUAACAUAUAGUAUAAUAUUAGUUUCAGGAGUAGAAUUUAGUGAUUCAUCACUUAUCUAUAAUACCCAGUGCUCAUCAUAACAAGAGUUCUCCAUAAUAUCCAUCUGGAUGCUAAACAUUUAAAAUUGAUUAAGUGAGGAUUCCACUUUGUUCCAACUUUUUUUUUGAGAACUGGGAAAAGCCUAGAUUGAUAUGAAAAGGUGGUCAUGAGUUCUCGAUCUCCUUUCAAUAUUUAUUCCUAGUGGAAACUGCAUAGGUCAGAGUCCAUUUGUAGACACAGAAUCCACUCUAGGUAGUGUAAGUGGAAUGAGAUAUAUUACAAGGUAUUUAGUAGCUCAUGGAAUUGUUGGGAGGGCUGAAAUAACAGACUUCAGUAGCAUUCUUGGGUCAUCUCCUGAAGGCACAUCAUCACAAGAACUGGGUUGUCAGGGCAGCUGCUGCCCCUGACACAAUCAAAGAGCUGCCUGUUGAACUGGGAAGCUGGAUCCAUGCUUCUCUAAUACAGUACACCCUGCCUUUCUCUCUCCCUACUUAUCUCCAUUCCAAUUCAAGUCUCCUUGAAAGUUCAUCCAACUUAGCAGACUCCAACUCAAACCCAAAUUCUUAGAUGCAAGGAACUCUCAGAAAUGUAGUUCAAAAUUUCUGAGCCUCUUAAGGGUGGGAAGACACAUUAAAAAUAUGUCAGAAUGGAUGGUGAGUUAGCCAAUUGGGCUCCAUUACAGUAUUUAUAUAAUCACCUAUGGUUGCAUUAUACAUGGUAAUGAGACAUCAAAUGUAUUUGCUUUUGGCUACAAUGGUAUCAAUUCUGUCUCCUUCUCUUUAGAUUUCUUUCCCCUGAUCUAGUAGGAAUUCAACUUCAUUUUCCCUAUUUCUAAAUUCUUUAAUCCCUUACUUUAAUUCUCAUGAACCAACAAUUACUUCUCAGUUGAAGUUGUUUGUUUCAUAGGCAGAAUCUUUCAAAACAUGGAAUUUAUGUGAAGGAAGGACAAUACAUUUUCCUUGAUCUAAAUUAAGGAACUAUUGGUAUAAACACACCCCAAAAAUACAUAAAUGGCCCAAUUGAUGGUAAAUGGUUUUCUCCCAUUGUUUUAAAGAAACCAGAAAAUGGCCCAAGAGUUCCUUAUGAACAUGAGAUUUCUUUUUUUUUUUUUUUAAGAGAGAGAGAAGACUUGGGGGUGGGGACAGAAGGAGAGGGAGAGAGAGAAUCUUAAGCAGGCUCCAUGCCCAGCGUGGACCCUGAUGCAGAGUCCAAUGUGGGGCAUGUUGCGGGGCUUGAUCUCAGCCCCACAACGACCUGGAGAUCAUGACCUUAGCUGAAAUCAAGAAUCAGACACUUAACUGACUGAGCCACCCAGGGACCCCAUGAACAUGAAAUGUCUGAAGAUUCAAGCCAACCCUUCUACUCACCUCGAGGCGGAAGAGUUUAGUGAAAGGAACAAAAUUAGGAAGGAUACAUACAAUCAAGCAACAUGGCCAUGCAAUGUUUUUCCAAAAAAGCUAAAAUUAGUUCAACUUCUAAAUAUAUAAAGCCUAAAUCACAAUAUCAGUGCACCUGUUUUUGUAAACCUCAUUUGUUUCUAGAAAUUUGAAAGCCAAACUCUAAUCCAAAAUUAUUGUCGGUACCUAGAGCCCACAUUCAUAAUUAUAACUUUCAAAUUUCAUAAGAUGUCUGCGUAAGAAGCUUAAUAACUUGUCACUCCAUAGUCUCCAUUGUCCCUCAAGGUGUCAUGCUUGGGACAUUUAGAAUUAUAACUUACUUGAAGCUUCAGGAGUAAGGUCGUCCCACAAGGAAACUCUAUAGCCCUUUCCACAGUCAAAACCAUGUGAAUCUUCUCUGUGGGGUGAGCCACUUACUAGUUGUUCACUGGAGGCUCUACAGACAGUUCCACAGACAAUGAGCAGAAGCUCCUUGAAAUCAAAUGUGCCAAACGGACAUUGCUCCAGAUUCUGAUCCUAGAACUGACUUCCAAUUUCAUGCUUCUUUUAUCUCCUAGAUUCCAAGGCCUAGAACACUGCUCAGGUGCCUUGGCUGUUGAAAAACUUAUUCUUUUUUUUUUUUUGAAAAACUUAUUCUAACUCCUUCAGCACCUCCACUAAUGGACAGCUCUCCAAAGUCUCUGGUCUGGGAGGUAUGCUGCUUUUUCAGUGGACAAAAAUUCUUAGAACUAUAUAAGGAAAGUAAGGCUAUGUGAGAUUGUACCAUAUAACCCUCCACUGUUCUUUAACAGGAGCAUGUGCCUACCAGGGAUACUGUU